AUUGAACGCUGGCGGCAGGCCUAACACAUGCAAGUCGAGCGAGCGGCGGACGGGUGAGUAAUGUAUGGGGACUGCCCGAUAGAGGGGGAUAACUACUGGAAACGGUGGCUAAUACCGCAUACUAUCGGAUAACCCAUAUGGGAUUAGCUAGUAGGUGGGGUAAAGGCUCACCUAGGCGACGAUCUCUAGCUGGUAUGAGCGGAUGUUACGCCACACUGGGCCUGAAGCACGGCCCCGGCGCCCACGGAGGGAGCAGGGGGGAAUAUUGGAUCAUGGGAGGCAGCCCUAAGCGACCAUGCCACGUGUAUGAAGAAGGCCUUAGGGUUGUAAAGUACUUUCAGCGGGGAGGCGUUACCCGCAGAAGAAGCACCGGCUAACUCCGUGCCAGCAGCCGCGGUAAUUC
rnacentral:rRNA from 1 species